rnacentral:rRNA from 1 species
UACGUAGGGUCCGAGCGUUGUCCGGAAUUAUUGGGCGUAAAGGGCUCGUAGGCGGUCUGUUGCGUCGGGAGUGAAAACUUACAGCUUAACUGUGAGCGUGCUUCCGAUACGGGCAGACUUGAGGUAUUCAGGGGAGAACGGAAUUCCUGGUGUAGCGGUGAAAUGACGCAGAGUAUCAGGAGGAACACCGGUGGCGAAGGCGGGGUCUCUGGGCCGAAACUGACGCUGAGGAGCGAAAGCGUGGGGAGCGAACAGG